AUGGUUAGUCCAGAACAUGAAUUUGAAUUGUGUGGAUGCAUAUUAUGACCUGCAAUAGAAAGACAGAGAUCAUCCACCACAGAUAUACAUCCAUUCAUCAGGAUAAAUUGUUUGUUUUUUCUUCGAAGAGAAACAGUACCAUAUACAUUCACCUGGAUUUAUUUGUGACUCAAUACAUGACAUGGAUUAGCACAAAGAAACUUGGUCAGCGGAAAUUCGUUUUGGCUCAUGCCGAUGGCAGUUUGGUCUAGAAUUCUAGAUGGAGCCCUCGUGUCCUCAUCCACGAAGAUUGGCCGCCUGAACCCAUGAAGAGGCUCGGGUAUUCAGAACUAAAUUGGGCAGCUACACAGGUCAAACAAGAUGCUGACAAGAUUACUUACCCAUCAAUCGGAUAGACUUGGAAUCCAUCCCCGGUUCUUGCGGUCGUGGAGGCAGCGUCACAGGGCGGCGCGGGAGGUCAAAUCUCACCAAUAGCACGACAGAACAGAUCCUGAGGAAUCCCUAUCAAUCACUGGUACUGGUAGUGUGGUAUGUGUUCUUGCCGCAGUCAACAAGCCCUCCCCGUGGUGGAGAGCAGGAGACCUUGCCGGAGCUGGGCGAGGAAGAGAGAUGGGCAGCAGGGCCGUGCGGAGCAGGUGGCAAGGGGCGGCAAGGAGGGAAGCAAGAUGUGGGCGUCACCGCUGUGCGGCGGCCGUCCAGGGAGGGUGCAGAUGGAU
rnacentral:lncRNA from 1 species